rnacentral:lncRNA from 1 species
AUCUGCUUUGUUUUUCUUACAGCAUUGAAAAGAUUAGAAAAUUCCACCUAAAAACGUGGAUAUCCAGUUUCUCUUGGAAAAAAAAAAAAAAAAGGAUAAUCCAUUGAUCUUGUGCCUGCAUUUUCUAUGACGCUUGACCAGAGCCGAGUAGUACCAUGCCCUUGACUGGAGCUCGUGCUGUCUUAGUGGCCACCGUCCUCACUGCUCUCCGUUGUGUUAUUCUGGCCCACCCUCUGCUUCAUCCUCUGGAUCUGGAAAGCACCGAGUUUGUAAUCUCUGAGCCAGACCUGUGUACCGAUGUUAUCAUCUGUAAAAUGGGCUGCAGGGAGAAUGACAGGUAGUCUUCUGAAGGAGGGGAAAAAAUGGAAGGCGGAGAUAUUACGCAGAUUAUCUCAAGAGAACAUAUUAUAUACAUACCAUUUUAGGAGCAAGAAAGGCAACUGAAAAACCCACACCUACAAGUGAACCGGCUGUAACUAUAACUGAAGAGCUCCACAGAAGAAGGUCACAUAGCUCCUGUAGCUCCUUGUUGUAACUGAGGGGAUUCUAUCCUUAUGUGUCUUUCCUGUCUCAAAGUGUGUGAGUAAAUAUGUUCACAUUGCUCCUAGGUACCAUUGCUUGCACCUCAAGGGCUUUCUACUGAUAAAAACUCAUGCUUAACUACCGUGGCAGACUUGCUAUUAGUCAUGGUCCACCGGAAAAAAAAAAAAAAAAGAUAAAGUAAUUCACCUGCAAUAGUUCAUAAACAAGCAACACGUUGUCUGUAUAAUGUUACUGCCUCUACUCUCAGAACUGCAAAUUAUCCAUUAGAACCUCUCUAUCCAUUGUCUCAGGUUCCUCUCUACUCCUCCUGAGAUAUCUGGUUUUACCAGUGGACACUGUUCUCAAACCCCUGUCAUGGUAACUUCUUCCCAGUGUCACCCAGAAUUCACGCUCCUCUCUUCUCCCGCACCUGCUCAUGCCUGGGCAGCCGGUGGAGAAGACCAUGUGGUAAAACAGCACUCGUCAUAGCUCCGGGAUCCCAACACUCUGGCUGGGGCUUUGGCUCCUGCAUGCAAGGUCCCCAUGGUGCCCCAUGCUUGGCCCUAGUCUCACUGCUUGGGUCUGCUGACUACUUCCUGUUUCCUGCCCACUAGAGAUAACUUUGUCUCCUUUUGACCUUCUGUAGAGAUAAAUUUGCUCUAUCUUUUGCAGCCUUGAUUGCUGCCUGGAUUCUUGUGUUACCGAUUCCUGCCUGGUUGUCCUACUCCGCAGAUACCCCUGUACUGGGACGACAAUGCCACAACUAGAGACUACCAGAGGACAGAAUGUCUUACAUUCCCCCGGCCUCCAGGGUGGUCAGUACCUUGUUACAUCGUGAAAGACUCUGAAAAAGUUUCAGCCUCCUAAAACCAAUAAAUUAAAAGUAAAUCAAUCA